AUACGGAGGAUGCGAGCGUUAUCCGGAUUUAUUGGGUUUAAAGGGUGCGCAGGCGGGCGAUUAAGUCAGCGGUGAAAGGCUCGGGCUCAACCGGAGCAGUGCCGUUGAUACUGGUUGUCUUGAAUGCGGUCAAGGCCGGCGGAAUGUGGCGUGUAGCGGUGAAAUGCAUAGAUAUGCCACAGAACACCGAUAGCGAAGGCAGCUGGCCGGGCCUGCAUUGACGCUGAGGCACGAAAGCGUGGGGAUCGAACAGGAUUAGAUACCCUGGUAGUCCACGCUGUAAACGAUGGACACUCGUUGUCGGCGACAGACAGUCGGCGGCCAAGCGAAAGUGAUAAGUGUCCCACCUGGGGAGUACGGUCGCAAGGCUGAAACUCAAAUGAAUUGACGGGG
rnacentral:rRNA from 1 species